rnacentral:ncRNA from 1 species
UCUUAUCCCGAGCUGGUGGAGGGACAGGCCCUUUGAAGCCCAGCAACCUGCUGUCAUUGCAGCAUUAUCUUGUUUAUCAUGCAGCGCAUGGUCAAAGAUUCUGCGACAGCGAAGGUGCUAACCUGAUGCAAGGCAUUGGUCCUUGAACGAUAAGA